AGAGUCAUAAGCGGUUUUACUAUUUUUAGUUAUGUGAUUGAGGAAUAGCUAUAUAACGGAGUAAUGGAUCGGUUGCAAUCAAGAUCUGGGAUCUGCUCCCUUGUAUAAUGUGAAGAGGGGUUAAGGAAAUCAACUUAUAUAACUUUGACAGCUGUUCUUAGGGCUACCUAAAACGUGAGCAAAGUCACUUCGUACUCACACUUCAAUGUCAGAGGAAAAGGAGAAGAGAUCGUCACCCAUGUAGAGCGACUGAGAAGUUAAGCAUGCAUUUUUCUUGUUCAUUAGGCAUUUUUUAGGGUGCUCCUUGGUCCUGGAUGCAGAGAUUCUAAGGCAUGCUGGAUGGAACAAAAGAUAGAAGUUAUUUGGGCUCAUUGGAAGAAACAUGGCAACAUUUGAUCAAGGUUCAUUGGGUAUAAAAAUGCUGCAUCCCAAGUUUUAGUUGAGGACAGUAAUACCUGUGAUCAAAACGAAGUAGAAGAGCAAUGAAGAUCCCUAUGAAAGAGAAAAAAAUAUAUAAUAAAACAACAAUAUGAAUAAACAAUAUUUAGUGAUUAAUUCAAUAGAAAAAUAAUUAAAUAUUUUAAGACCGAUUUUGUGUUUGCAUUCUUUGCUAUUAAUGGCAUAUAUAUUUCUAUACCUGGAAUA